AUUGAACGCUGGCGGCAUGCUUUACACAUGCAAGUCGGACGAGUGGCGAACGGGUGAGUAACGCAUCGGAACGUACCGAGUAAUUGGGGAUAACUGUCCGAAAGGACAGCUAAUACCGCAUCUUAUUCUAGCGGCCUAUGUCUGAUUAGCUGGUUUGAGUGGUAAAGGCCCACCAAGGCGACGAUCAGUAGCGGGUCUGAGAGGAUGAUCCGGCACACUGGGACGGAGACACGGCCCAGACUCCGACGGGAGGCAGCAGUGGGGAAUUUUGGACAAGGGGCGCAAGCCUUAUCUAGCCAUGCCGCGUGUCUGAAGAAGGCCUUCGGGUUGUAAAGGACUUUUGUCAGGGAAGCGGUACCUGAAGAAUAAGCACCGGCUAACUACGUGCCAGCCGCCGCGGUAAUAC
rnacentral:rRNA from 1 species